UCCCUGGUAGCUCAGUGGUAAAGAAUCUGCCUGCAAUGCAGAGGACACAGGUUCCAUCCCUGCUCCAGGAA
rnacentral:tRNA from 1 species